rnacentral:rRNA from 1 species
CACACGGUCUGCGUGUGGGCGUGUGGUGAGCGCGGUUCGGUUGUAGGUUGGCAGGCGAGCUGGCUGGUCGUUGUCGCAACUGCUGGCUGGCUGGCUGGCUGGCUGGCUGACUGGCUAGGCGGUGGGUUGGCGGGACGGCUGGGUGUUUGCUUGCUGGCUGGGCUGGCUGGUGCGAUGCUGCACUACUACUGCUUGCGUGCAGUGAGCGUGUGUUGGCAGGGAUUGUGUUGCCGUGGCCAUGAAGAAGCACUGUCGUGUCAAGCUGGCAAGGCGAUGGUGUCACCUUUGAGCCAUGUCUGUGGUGUAACAGCUACAGGUGUGGACGGUGUUGGGCAGCGCUCUGCACACGUUGUGGAGUCUGUCGGCUCGUCUGCAUGCCUUUGGAUGCCCUUAAAAGGUGUCUGCGGGCGGAUGGCACGUUUACUUUGAACAAAUUUGAGUGCUCAAAUCAGGCCGAUGUUGCCUGAAAAGUUUUGCAUGGAAUAAUGGAAUAGGACUUCGGUUCUAUUUCGUUGGUUUUCGGAUCCGAAGUAAUGAUCAAAGAGACAGGCGGGGACGUUUGUAUGGCUGCGCUAGAGGUGAAAUUCAUGGACCGUAGCCAGACAGACUAAAGCGAAAGCAUUCGUCAAGCAUGUUUUCAUUGGCCAUGAGCGAAAGUCAGAGGCUCGAAGACGAUCAGAUACCGUCCUAGUUCUGACCAUAAACGAUGCCAACUGACGAUCCGUGGUGGUAGUAGUGUUACCUUCCCCACGGGCAGUCCCCGGGAAACCUUUAAGUGUUUGGGUUCCGGGGGAAGUAUGGUUGCAAAGCUGAAACUUAAAGGAAUUGACGGAAGGGCACCACCAGGAGUGGAGCCUGCGGCUUAAUUUGACUCAACACGGGAAAACUCACCCGGGCCGGACACUGUGAGGAUUGACAGAUUGAGAGCUCUUUCUUGAUUUGGUGGUUGGUGGUGCAUGGCCGUUCUUAGUUGGUGGAGCGAUUUGUCUGGUUAAUUCCGAUAACGAACGAGACUCCAACCUGCUAAUUAGUGCGUUUGUCCACUGCGCCUGCGUAGGUGACGCUGGAUGACACCACCUGUCACGAGGACGUGGCAGCGGCUCUUCUCUCCCCUUCUCCGCUCGAAUGCCCUCCAGCGCCUCCUCCUCCUCCUCCUCCUCUCCUCCCCUUCUUCAGCGCCUCAUCUGGCCGGCUGGCUGGCUGGCCGGGUGAGGCGGUGGUGGCGGUGGCGGUGGUGAGGGCGAUGGGGUGGGGAUGGUGCGGGUGGGCGAGUGGAUUGUGGUGGAGGCGUGGGGUUGGGUGCGGCGCUCGUGGCCGGUUAGUCUGGCGUUGGCCUCCGGGUGUGGCGCGAAUGCCUACUUCUUAGAGGGACAAGCGGGAGAAGCCGCACGAAAUAGAGCAACAGGUCUGUGAUGCCCUUAGAUGUCCGGGCCGCACGCGCGCUACAAUGACGGUGUCAGCGAGUCAGGCCUUCUGGCCCGAAAGGGUUGGGCAAACUGGUCAAUCACCGUCGUGACAGGGAUCGGGGCUUGGAAUUGUUCCCCGUGAACGAGGAAUUCCUAGUAAGUGCAAGUCAUAAGCUUGCGCUGAUUACGUCCCUGCCCUUUGUACACACCGCCCGUCGCUACUACCGAUUGAAUGGUUUAGUAAGGUCCUCGGAUUGGCGUCAUUGCGACGGUGGCCGAGAGGUCACAGCCCGAGGGGCGCUGAGAAGACGACCGAACUUGAUCAUUUAGAGGAAGUAAAAGUCGUAACAAGGUUUCCGUAGGUGAACCUGCGGAAG